UGGCGGGGAAUGAGCGCGACGUUUGUCCGGGGCAGUCAUGGGCUCGGGGAUUUAUUUUGCGCGGCAGUUUGAGCGACGCUUUGGAGUCUUCCCUGGGAAAGCUUGUGAGCACGCUCGAAAAGAGUUCGGAGAGAGGGUCGCUCAGCGGGCAACUAUCCGCCCCGCCCCGGGGAAACAUUUGUGGCUUUCUGCUGGAAACUGGCAUUCUAGCAAUGUGGUGGGGUUGCCCAUCUUAGUUACCAAGGGAAUGGCAUCCCCAAAUGCAGACAUCGGUGGGACACCAGGGCUGAUGGGCGCCCAGCAGUAAAGUGGGAAGCCAAGCUCCUCUGUUUGCCAUGCAGCUUCCAAGGAACGGGCCCUGCAAGACUAAAAAGGAAGCAACUCCUGUUCCUCUGUAAUGUUGUCAGAACUUACUCUGUUGCUGAUCUUGUUCAAUAAAAGCAGUGAUUGAGCCCUUC